rnacentral:rRNA from 1 species
CCGAAGUGUCGAGUGGAGAGCGGCGGACGGGUGAGUAACGCGUGAGUAACCUGCCUACCAGAGGGGGAUAACACAUAGAAAUGUGUGCUAAUACCGCAUGAAACCAUAGUAUCGCAUGGUAUAAUGGUCAAAGAUUUAUCGCUGGUAGAUGGACUCGCGUCUGAUUAGCUAGUUGGAGGGGUAACGGCCCACCAAGGCGACGAUCAGUAGCCGAACUGAGAGGUUGAUCGGCCACAUUGGGACUGAGACACGGCCCAGACUCC